rnacentral:lncRNA from 1 species
UUUACAAAGUGCUUAGAAUACAAGCAGACAAUUUUCUUCCUUAGGAAAGACAAAGAAAAAUAAUAAUAAUAGCAAUAAUAUUUUACAUUUAUACAUUCUUGAAGUUUACACACAUAUGAUCUAAUUUGCUAAUUACAUGUUGGGGAUUUCUAUUUUUACUAGUAAGUAAACUGAUGCCUGGAAAGCUUUCGUAGCCUGCUCAGUAUCAUCAGACAGGUUUGUAGCUGAGCUUAAAAUAAACUGAAGGAUUCCUCAGUUUUACUCAAGUCAUCUUUCCAUCACCCCUUUCUACCACUGUGAACAAUUUAGUAAUGAUGACUUGUCAUGAAUCUACCUAACAGACUUUGAUACAACUUUGAUUGUGCCAUAUUAUGUUUUGAAUAAAGCAGUAUUAAUAGAUUUACCUUGAAAAAACUAUAUAUAGAAUGUCAAGAUAAAUAGAUGUCACUCUUAAUUUCUCCCAAUUUAUAGUAGCUAAAUCCCAUAUAGAAAUAAGAACGUCGUAUUAGGAUUCCAUAAAGACUGAAGUUUCGUAGGAAAAACUCUAAACUUACAAAACUGAAAAUAAGAUUAUUUACUUGCAUUUUUUCAAACAAGACAUAUUUGUUCUUAUGACAUGCCUCACACAUCUUAAUAUUUCAUAUUUAAGUAUGCACGUGGAAAAUAUUCACAGAUACAUAAUUUAUCCAAAUAUUUUAACCAAAUAUUUGUUCACUUAUUUUAAGUUCCAUUGUUUAGACAGUUUUGUGAGAAAUUAAAUGAAUGCUUUCAAGAUCAUGGGUUGUUUCUUAGUAUACUAGUAAUUAUAAUUACAUAAAAACCCAGAAAUCGGAGGAGCAGCAUUAUGAUUUUGUGUUUUUAUGUUUUUCCCUUUUCUAGGUCCAUUCUUCCUAAAUGUUAAUCAAGGAAGCAAAGGACAUCUUGGAGGGAAGGAAAGAGCAAGUCACUGUUUUCUGUGAUUCAGCUACUCUCUGUAUUUUUUAAAGCUGUUUGAAUAUGACAGCGUUUCAACCUUUCAGAACAUUCAUUUUUCUCUUCUGAAAAAUGGGCUAAGAGGACCCAUCACUUAGAUUUUUCAUGGAGGAGGGUGACAGAUGGAAUUGUGUCCCUUUAAAAUUCAUAUGCUGAGUCCUCAUCCCCAGCAUGUGUGUCAUGAAUAUACCUCAGCAUGUGACUACAUUUAGAUAUAAGGUCUUUAAAGAAUUAAUUAAGGUAAAAUGAGAUCAUUAUGGCAAGCCGUAAUCCAAUAUGACUGGUGCCCUUAUAAUAAGAGGAAAUUAGGACAAAGACAGAAAAAAACUAAGGAGUGAAGAUGCACAGGCACAGGGAGAAGACUGACAUCCACAGCGCAGGGAGAGAGGUCUCAGAAGAAAUCAACAAUUCUGGUCUCCAAAACUGUGAGACAACAAAUUUCUGUUGUUUAAGCCAUCCAGUCUGUGCAUAACUUUGUUAUGGCAGUCCUAGCGAACUAAUGCAAGGAGAUUAUGAUUUAUCCUAAAUUUAGGAUUAAAUGGAUAAUGGCACAAUCUGCAAUGUAGAAGGUAGAUUUUCUCUCAUUCCUUUUCUUACUCAGUUUUCCUGCUCUUGAAAUCUCAGGAACAGAAAACCUGCAGAUAUCUUGUUCAGAUUCCAAUGCCAAGUUUUCUUCAUCUUUUUAAGGUCACAACUUUUUUUUCCUUAUAAUGUUUCUUAAAUUAAAACCUAUCCAUUUCAAGCCGCCCUUGGAUCUUUCUGUCCUCACAACAUUAGUGUUUGCCUGUGUGAGAUUGCCAGUGAAAUUGAUGCAUGUUUCUUACGUUAAUAGGCAUAUUUACCUCUUAGUGAGUGUGCAUUUAUCCUCUAAAUGUUAAUAGGUCUUAUGCAUCUCUCUUUCCAGGGAGACUGUAUCCUCACACGAAUACAGAUGCACAAGGAAGAAAAAGCAUCCUUUGUGCUGGCCACUCCACAUAGCUUUCUCAUCUUCAGUGCAUCCAAACAGGCAUUUCCAAAAGCCAGGUGGCUCAUGCUGCCUCACAACAGAAGCUUUUGCUUUCCAACAGUCUCAUUUGAGUAAUGGGCUAAUAGAAAACCAAGUUAUGGAUCUCCAGGACCAGAACAAUAAUAAGGCCAUAAUGAGAUUGUUAUCAAUCUGGCCUCAGUUCUGGUUUCUUCUCUCAGAGGAACAUCAUGAUGAAAAUAGGAAAACUCAUCAAUCAUAAAAAUCACACAAGAGCCAAGCCAACUGGCUUAAAUAUACACACAACAUUGCAGGUGAGACUGAAUUUCACCGCUGGGAAGCAGUUUCUCUUUGAAAAAUCAGAGUGACACACUAACUGAUGGUUAACACAUUAACUGAUGUUCCUGCCCCUUUCUGAGUAGGUCCUGGGAAGUAUGAAGUUAAGCAACUUUCCCAAGGCCACACAGAUAACAAGACGUAAAACCAAGGAUAAGAACUCAUUUCUGAAAUAGAGCUCAUGUUGCCUCUCUGGCUCUUUUACUGUAAGCUUUAGGUGUUUAGCAACUCAUAUGUUAUAAACAAACAAACAAGCAAAAAACAAUAAAAUAAAGAACAAAGAACAAUAAAGGAAAUGUAUAAGUCGAACAGUGAAAUAACCCAACCAGUAAGGCAGCUCUAGUUAACUGAGAAGCCCUUGACUUUUCAACAUCAUUUCACCCCUUAUUACUAUGUAAUUGAUAACAAUAGACAAUAAUGAUUAUGCAGGCUGAAGAGUAAGAGUAGGCAAAGACAUCAAAUUUCCAAGGUAUACAUGCCUCCUCACGUACUCAUUUCCUAUGGAUGUACACUCUAUCACUAACAGUGUUUUUGUUGCUUUUUUUUUCUUUUUCCCCAAACUCUUAGAUUUAUUCCACUCUGUUAAGCUUCCUGAAUCACAGAGAAGUUGUCAGAAAGAUUUUAGCCUCCGCUAUAGGAAGUCCUGCCCACCUUCUCCAGAUCUCUGUUCUCAUAGUCCAUCCUCUGGUUCCAGGUGGAAGAAUUCUAAAAUCACACAAGAAAAUGUAAGAUAUCUUCCUCGAAUAUCAACAGAGAAGAACAGCAGCCACGUGGAUAAGGCAGAGUUUGGGAAAUCCUGGAUUCCCUUAUCAUAAAGCAUCUUACAGUAACCUCAGAAAUGCAGAAGUUACUUGUAAUGGUGCUGUAGACACUGUACGAGAAAGUUUCACCUUUAUGAUCUAAUUUAAUUCUCACAAAAACCCUGUUAGGUAGGGUGUUAUUAUUUAAAUUUAAAUCAGAGGAAAAUGUAACAGGAAUUCUGCAACUUACAGUCAAAGAGAUAAUAAACAGGAGCAUCUGUGGUUUGAAAUUUGGUUUGACUGAAUUAAAACCCACAUUUGAGGCCUUAUUCCUUGCACCUGGGGUGUGACUUCAUAGUGAUGUAAAUCAGUUUUAGCAAAAGAAGCAAAAGGUUGAAAGUCCUUUGUUUAGUCUGGAAGUGGCUAAAGACAUAUGAAGAUCAAAAUCGGCAAAAAAAUAAUCCAUAUGAGACUCUUGUGUGUAAAAGAUUAAAUGGAGUCUGUGUCAUUCCGGGAAAAAGAUCUAGGGCCCAAUUGAUAUAAAUUGAGGAGAAGCUCAUUCCCCACUUUUAUUGUUUCCAUGAUCCUCUUAAUCCAGGAGAGAAAUGUAGAAAAAAACACUACCAUCCUAUCUCUCCACUUAUUUUCUCAUUGGUGAGGGAGAGAGGAAGAUUCAUCAGUCUGAUGAGAUGAUGGGUCUCAAAAAUAAACCAAGAGUGUGCAGCAGCAUUUCCUUCUAGGUCCCCUGUUUGAGUCAGAUUUCUCCAGAGAAGCAGAAGCAAUAGCAGGUGUAUAUACAGAAAGAGAGUUAUUUUAAGAAACUGGAUCAUGCGACUGCGGAGGCUCAGGAAGUCCAAAAUCUAGUAGGGGAGGUCCGUAGGCUAGAUACUUCAGAAUGAGUUACAGUUUGAAUCCAAACGCAGUCUGGUGGUGAACCAGGAAGACACGAUGUUGAGGAUGAAGUCUGAAGGUUGUCUGCUGGCAAAGUCUCUUCUUGCUUAGGGGAGGUCAGUCUUUUCCUUCUAAUAAGGCCUUCAACUAAUUGAAUGAGGCCCACCAAAACUAUAAAAGAUACUUGGCUUUGCUUUAAGUCCAGCAAUUUCAUUUAAAUCUCAUCCAAGAAUACCCCUCUCAGAAACAUCCAGAAUAAUGUUUGACCAAAUAUCUUGCACUGUGGCCCAGCCAAGUUGAUACAUACAAUUAACCAUCACACUCCUUUCUCCUCUCUUUUUAAGUCUGGCUCUCAGACAUGUAGGAAUUUUACUUUUCUAGCACUCUCAAGGACUGGGUAGGGGAAAGAUAAAUUCACAAGUAGAAGGCAUAUUGGAAGACUGUUGACAGCAGAGGUAAGACUGUAUUCCCUUCAGCUUUAUUAAUCACAAAGAUAACAUUUUGACUCCUUUACUGAAUUUCCACAAAUGGGUCCUCAUUUGAGUAGGAGAUGAUGGCACAUUACAUAAGGGAUCAUGGGCUUAGAAUCUUAAGAAUUAGGGACUAAAAUUAUGCAUAGAAAAUUUGGAUGUGUUGAGGGGGCUUUUGCCUCAGUCAGGAUGAGAUGCCUUAGGAUUUAAGUUUCAGUGAAUUCAGAUCUCCAAAGGCUUUUUGAAUAGGGUAGAUCACAGCUACCCAAAUUGCUAUUGGUUAUGAACAUGGAGCUAUUUUUAAAAGGUGAGGCCCUAAGUGAUUCCCUCCUUGGCUUUUUGUAAGCACCUCCCAGGGGCCUUAGCAUGUAGGCCAGUGUAACUUACCUUGGCUUGAAUUACAUAGUAAGGCCAAAUCAGAGAGUAGGUAACAGGGAAAUGAUUUGAACCCAACUAAGAUUUCUCAAGAAAGAGAUGUUUUAGGCAUUAGUAGAUGAGAUCGUUUGUGCUCUCUUUAUAAGUUUUGUCCUCCACUCCGCCCAAAGAUCCCCAGGAAGCAAUUUAACACUGCAAAUACAUAAGUGCAGCUAGGUUCAGCUUAAGUUGUAGAGCAUGGGAUCUAGCUUUUGUUUUCAGAGAGAGUUGGGACACGUGCCUGGAAAAUGGUAUUAGAUUUCAAAAACACAAAUUCAUGACAACAAAGUAGUGGUUUUAACCAAUUAAUAAAUAAAAAGGAAUAAGCUCAUUACUAUAUAAGAACUAUGCCAUAUUCUUGGAUUGAGGUAGAGAGUAACUCAGUGAAACAAUGGUGAACUCAAAAAAUUAAGAAAAAAAAACACAAAAAGGUUUAUGCUUAUAACCCACUUCAUCUCUAAGAAAUGAGUCUGCUCCAGAAAUGAACUGGUUUAAAAUUAUGCUUCUGUCUUUCUAUUAUAAUAGGGGCAGUAGAGAAUGACAGACAUGCUAAAGAAGGCAAUAUGUUUGUGUGGAAAGGAAGGUGCUCUUUCAUUAAGAUAAUUGAGUCUGGAUCACUGAGGCCAUGCUGGAGAAAUAGGAUAAAAGAAGGGAGACAGAUGCCUGCAGGCCAAAUGUUCUUGUUGAAGGUAGUUUAGAAAAGAGGCAGGUACCUGAGUUGAUACUAUAUCAGAGAGGAUGAUACCUCUGCUCUCAAUCAUACAUAAAAAGGCAGCUUUAUUUCAGUGAGCAGAGUGCAAAGACAUCCCCAGAGGAAAACCAGAUACAGGGCCUAACUCGGGCUUUUAAAAGUGUGUCAUAACACAAGUGAAAACUUCUAGAAAAGAUCAGAACAGCUGUAUACAGUGGUGAUGAGCAACUCGCACUGAUUUGAGAAGGAAACAUCAAGAAGAAAAACAAUAGCUGCUCAAAGCCAUCUAGAGUGUUAGAAAAUCACAGUUGUAGUUAGGGACACAGCCAUUGCCUUGAGUGAGUAUAAUAGGGUUUGAGAGUCUAAGAAAAGCACAGGAAACAAAUGCCACUCCUAAGGGAACCUAGAUUGACAGAGAUAAAUAAAGAACAGGCCUGGUUUAGAUGUUAAUCUGAAAGGAGGGUACUACCAGUGUAGAGCUAUGCUCCUUAGGAAGCUGAGAGAAGACAGGAUUGUCUGGAUGGAAUUGUUCUGGAUGCUUUUUCUAAGAUCCACAAAUCAUUGUAUCUCUCAUUAUGACAAAAAUCUACAGAAGAUGCUAUAGGAACAACUACCUGUGCCUCAAAAGACA